GCCUACGGCCAUACCACCCUGAAAGCGCCCGAACUCGUCUGAUCUCGGAAGCUAAGCAGGGACGGGCUUGGUUAGUACCUGGAUGGGAGACCGCCUGGGAAUACCAGGUGUUGUAGGCU
rnacentral:rRNA from 1 species